rnacentral:siRNA from 1 species
UCUGUAAUCGAUUCCCUAUGGAA